rnacentral:tRNA from 1 species
GCCUACUUAGCUCAGCGGUAGAGCAACCGGCUGUUAACCGGUUGGUCGAAGGUUCGAUCCCUUCAGUAGGCGCCA